UGGCAAGUUUUGGGAUAUGUAUAGCAAUCCUCAUCUUACAAAUGAAGACACUAAUUGGUGGUAGAAGUGGUUAAAUAACUUGCCCAGCCACACAGUCAUUGAGUAGAAGAACUGGAAUACAAACUCCCAACUGUCUAUUGCCCAAGUGUAAAUUCUACCACACCACACUAACUCUUCAUAGUAGUUGCCUAGGGUUGUUGUAACAAGGGAUCACAACUUGGUGGCUUACAGCAAGAGAAAUGUAUUUUCUCGUAUUUCUAGAGGCUACAAAUCUGAAAUCAAGGUGUCAGCAGUGUUGGUUUCUUCUAGAAACUCUGAGGGAGAUUCUGUCCCAUGCUUCUCUCCUAGCUUCUGGUGUUUGCAGGCAUGUUUUGGGUCACUUGUCUUCUAGACAUAUCACUUCAAUCUCUGCCUUUUAUCUUUGCCAUAUAUUAAAUAUGUACAUGGGUUUGAAAGCAUUUUUUAUUAAAAAACUCAAAUAUCUUCACAUGGUGUUUUCUCCUUUCUGUGUGUUUGUAUCUCUUCUUUUCCUAUAAGGACCACAGUUGUGUUGGGUUAGGAUCUACCCUAAUGUAAUAGACUUCAUCUUAACUUAAUCACAUCUGUAGGCCCUAUUUCCAAAUAUAGUCACAUUCAUAGGUACUGGGGGUUAGGACCAUGGCAUAGCUUUUGGGGGAACACAGUUCAACUCAUGACAUUAUUUAAAUCUGAUCCAUGUUGUAUUCUUUAAAUUUCUGGUUAAAUAGAAAAAGUGUCUUUGAGACCCAGAAUCUGGCAUGUAAUAGGUGCUCAGUAAAUUCAUGAUGAGUAAUGCUCCCAUUAACACAUCUUCACUCAAUAGAAGCUUGAAUUUAACCCCACAUGUCUUGUGAAUCUAUAACUGCAAAGGAAAAUUAGAGGAUUUUUUGUUGAUAGAAAAAUUAACUUGUAUGCCUGUAAUUUGAUACCAUUGCAUCACAGUACUUAUUUCAAAAUUAACAAUUUCAGAUGAGACUGUGCCCAUAUAGAUCUUAUAGAGAACAAACAGCUAAAUGUGUCAUUGAACUGUUACAAAAGUGAUGAUCCUAUAAAGAAGAAAUGCAACACAUUGGUUUUAAAAAAUUAAGUUGCAGGGCACAAUUUUUUUUUCUAAUUGAAAAAUUAACUUUGACUUGAGAGAAUAUAACAAAUUAAAUAUAUACAUGAAAAUGAAAAUAUUCUCUAUUGAAUACCUCAGAAAAGCUUAUUACACUUAAAUGCAUUCCGUGAAAUGUAUCUCCUGGCAUAUUUUUGAUGAUUUAUAACAUAUUGAAGUGUUAUGUCUUCAUCAAUGCCUUCUACUUGCUAAUUUUUUGUGCAAUUAAAUAUUUAUCUGUAAUUUGUUUUUCUUUAAAGAUUGAUUGGGGCUUCAAAUAAAAUACAAUAAUUAGCAACGUGAAUAAAAAUGCUUGUUGGAUUUCUGACAUCCUGAAAUAUAUCAAAAUAAAGAGAAUGGAAGAAAAUAAGUGUCUACAGAAUAUCUACUGUUAAGUAGAAAGGAUUAUGGAUUCAAAGUAAUAUACAGUACUCCCCAAAUCACACUGAUCUAACUUUGUAACUCUAAAAAUUCAAGGGGUUGAAACUGAUAAUCAUUAAGGUGUUUUUCAGCUUAAUCAUUGCGUGAUUAAAGUUUAAUUAUUCUAAUCAAAGGCCAUGGUAUUUGUCUCAUUGGUAUUAUUUUCUUUGAGAGACCAAGGGGGACUAGAGGAAAUAGAUAAGUAGAUUAUGGAAGGCCUUCAAAGAAGGAGAGAAAGAAUAGAUGUAGCCAUCAACUACAGACAGGAGGAUACAGAAUAUUUGGAGUUCUCAGUAGUCUGCUCAAGAUCCAACAAGGCAGGCACUACCUCAAAUGACACAGAAAACUUGUUCGUUGUGAUUUUGUUUUAAACAUACUACACAACAGAUGUGCCAUCAUCCUUUUUUUUGGUCAGACUUCUAAAUAAAGAAAUAAAAUAGAUUGUUUUUUACUUUAUUAUCUCAAUUUCAAUAACCUUAAUUUCCUAAUUAGGAAAUUAAAGUUCUAAUCAUAUCAGAGUAGAAGGUUGCUUUCUGUGUUUGAGAUGGAAUUCACGAAACCAUUUCUCCUCCUUGCUACAGCUUCUAAGGAACAAUCAUGCCCAGUGUAAACUUCAUUGUAACACGAAGGUCACCAUUGCGUCCCCUGGAAAGGGGAUGUCGAACAAUGAGGUUUUGUCUAAAUAAUCUAAGACAUUUGUUUGAAAGUCUCUGAAAUCUAUGGGUGCAUGGAUGAUCCCUCUGAUGUUGUAUUCAUAGAAAUGGUAAACAUAUAUGAGCAGCGCCCUCUUCAAGGUUUUAGCUUGUCAAUGAUUGGUUUAGAUUGCACUGAAUUCAUCAAAAUCACUAGUUAAAAGUAUAACACAAUGAGCCAUCCCAACUCUGGAAAUAUUUGAUUAAAUGACUGUGCUCAUAUUUCAUUAGAUGAUUAAUUGUGUGAAUGCCUGAGAGUGCCAAAGAAAACAGGAAUUGGGGAAUUUGUCAGUAACUUAGCCACUCUGAGCCUGUGCUUUCCCAUAUUACAAUAUGGGGAGACUCAAAUGAUAAUACUAUACUGUGAAAUCAGUCUCAGAAAUAGUUAUUCAUCAAUAAAGCUAGCUCUCUCAGAUCUAUUCCAAUUAUUCUUCAUUGCACCAAAUGGUGCCGUAAUGUGAAAUGUUUCACUCAUUAUUCUUAAUACAGUAGAGACAAUAAAAUCAGUAUGACUUUAAUCAUAGGUGUAUCAUAGUUUUCCAGCAAUCUGUCUUUCUAGUUUAUAGCAUUUAAUUCAUUUCCUACCAGUGCUGAUUUGGGCGAUACAGUAAGUCUAACAGACUACGCUUUCUAGAGAACAUAGCGUUGAAUGCAUGGACUCAGAAAGCAUACUUGAGUUUUGUAGUCUCCAAAAGGAGUCACAAUCCUGCACAUUACAACCUAGUGUUGUCAAAUUCCAAACAGACAUUUAUCUUCAGGAUUCAUGAAUAAUAAACCAAAAUUAUCAAGAAUCCUCAGAAAUUCCUAAAGUUCUAAGAUAUUCUAUAUUUUCAUAAUUUAUCUGCAGAUUUUAAAAUGCAAAACUAUACAUUUAUUAUUGUAUAUUUCAUUUAAAAAACUCUAAAGCUUUAUAUAACCCAUAGAAGAAUGAUUUCUUAUUAUUGUCACUUCUUAUAUUUUUAAAAUAUAUAAUCUUGGCUUAUAGCAAAUAUUCAAGACAGGAAAACACCAGCAAACAUCAUUUUGAUAUAUUCAGAUCUCCUAGCAUCAUUAAGAAUACCACACACACUCGUGUCAAAAUUGCCAACUGAAGAACUUAUUUUGCUUUCAAAACUUAUUUACUGGAACAUCACUCAUAGAAUUUCUAUAAUAAAUAUAAUGCAUAUAAACUUAUUAGUAUCUAUUUUAUUUGCAAGAAUGACUCAUUGUUUCCAGCAGACAGGCCCAUAAACACAUACUUAUAGCACCAGUUAUAAGCAAGAGCAAUUGAUUAUAUUAUGACCAGUUCUCUCUUAGGCACUCCUGUCCUCACUACCAGAAAUGUCCACAUUAUCCUUCCAUUCCUCAUGUCUUGUUUCUUGCUUUUGCAUUUGAUAUGAUAUCAGCAGAUUACUUUGAAUCAGUAAGAUCUCUAUGCUGAUUGUUAUACUUUAAAUCUCACAGAAUUAUAAUACUUUUCCCUGUUUUCCUGACUCCUUGACUAAUUUUUCUCAGGAUAUGGAAAGUCACAUAAAUUUUCAGAGAAAUGCCAGGCUAGAAUUUCUAUACAGUUACACUGAUUAUCAGAGCAACCAAAUCCCUGGUUUGACCAGUUGUACUUUAUGGUCCACAGUAGAUUGUUAAUUUCAUUAAAAGAAUAUCUUCCUUCAUUGGAGUUAAAUAUUUGAAUAUUCCCCUAUGUCAAAACUCUGGGACCCUGAGGAUACUAUUAGUAAAUAUAUUUUGAGUCAGCUAGAAUAGGUUUAUAUCCCCUCUAUAACAAUAAAUAGAAAUCAUGUUUUAUCAGUACUUAACUAUCCAGCACAGUGUAUGAUAAUAAUUGAGUGUGCCAGCUCUGGAACCAGAAACCUUUGACUCAAAUUCCAAUAAUACCAUUGAUCACUUAUCAAAUCUUUGGGCCGUUACUUCACUGAGUAAAGUAAACUUUAGUUUCCUCAUCUGUAAAGUAAACUUUAGUUUCUUCAUCUGUAAAAAGAGGACAAUAAAUAUUAUUUGCUUCUCAGAGAUUUUAUUUUUCAGAUCAUUUUAUAAGGUAAUGGAAUAGCUAGACUUGGCUCCCUCUGCAGGGAUAAUCGCCAUCUUAAAAUUGUUAUGCAAUCUUCCCAAGCAUUUUCUUUCUGUUUACUAUGUGGUUGUAGCCACAAAAGACAUUUUGCAACCUAUAACAUAUUAGAUCAAUGUUAUCUUGUAUUAGAUAUCAUUUGGCAGCUUGCUUUUCCUACUCAAAAUUAUUAUUUCUUGUAUUUAUCAAACUUGACAAAUGUAGAUUCCAUUUAUUCUUUUUUAGUUGUUAUAUAGUAUUUCCUUGUUUGGAUAUAACCCAGCUCCUAUGUAUCGUCUUUGGCGUGCAUGUGCAAGUAUUCAUUUAGCACACAGACUAGAAAUCAAACCGCUGGUUGCCAGGUAACAUGAAUCAUCACAUUUACUGUUUAUUAGCAAAUUGCUUGCAGCGUUCCAUUUACAUGUAUUCUUACCAAUGUGUGAUAUUUUUUGCUAAUUUUUUUCCCAACUUGAUGGGUAUGAAAUGACAUCUCAUUGCUGUUUCAGUUUUCAUUAUCUGAUUACUGACAGGGUUAAGCAGUUUUUCAUAGGUUUAUUGGUGAUUCCAGUUUUCUCCUCUGGGGGUUGUUGAUAGGCUUUUGUCAUUUUUCUGUUUUUCUUAAUUGUAUCUAGGAAUUCUUUACACAGAGAUGCCACAAAGUUUAACUUUGGCCUCAGUACUCAGGAAAAGAUAUACUUGGUUUCAGCCUUGGCUUCAGGCUUUGAAAGACAGAGUAACAAAUAGCUACUUCUUUUCUGGCCCCUUCAUCAUCUGCUUGUUCAAUGGAGGUAGGACCACUCAAAUUACGAACAAGGUGUAGCCCUCGAAUUGGCUAUUAACAUCUGAAUACAUACUAAGUAUUCAUUUUCAAACUUAGGAGAGCAGUCUAGAUGUAACUUGGAAUAAAAACCUCCAUGGGCUUCUACAGGCUGUUAAAAUAUAAGCAUAUUUAUGUGUUUCAAUAAUAAAAUGUUGAAAUAUGCUGAUUUUGAAAGCUGUUAAUUUGCUGUACAAAAAUUAUUAAGAACUUUCAAACAGUUAAACAAUGUUAGCAGUUAUUAGGAAUAAGAGAGAGUGCAUUAGAUAGAUAACACUAACAAGAACAUAAUAUCCGUUUUCAGCCAGCAAAUGUUUAUAAAAUUUUAAAUGCUAAUAAAACAGGAGAAUAAUAGAAAUUAGAUUAUAUCACAAUGCUAAUCUUUAGAAGCAUUAAGAGCUAUAUUUAAUUUUUUGUUAUUUAAUUCAGCUUAGGCCAGAGUCUUUCAAGAAAAAAAGUCUUAUUAGAGAAGUCUUCAUAUCUCGUGAGGAUGAAUUAAAAGCAGAAUCUCAACUUUGCUACCUUUAAAUGUCACGGAGAGAAAAAACUGCAAAACCAUGUGCAACAAUAUCCAUGAUAAAUCAUCUUUGAUCUCAACAUAACGGAGACUAUAAGGAGUAUAAAGACUAGAAGAAAGAGUAGAAGGUGAUCCACAAUCAAUUCAGAACCUGGUCUUCUAUGGUGGCUCACAGUUCCUGCACCCUACAAUAUCGUGCACCUCUCUCUAAAUCUACUGAAACGUGCAGCCUUCUUUUGGAAGAGAAAGAUUCUGAUAUUCAUUAACAAUUAAAUGAAUCUUCAAG